rnacentral:rRNA from 1 species
GACGAACGCUGGCGGCGUGCCUAAUACAUGCAAGUUGAGCGCUGAAGGUUGGUACUUGUACCAACUGGAUGAGCAGCGAACGGGUGAGUACGGGUGGGGGAUUUGCCUUUUAGCGGGGGACAACAUUUGGAAACGAAUGCUUAUUCCGCAUUAAAACUUUUAACACAAGUUUUUAGGUUUAAAGAAGCCAUUGCAACAAUCAAAGAAUAUCCCGCGUUUUAUUAGCUAGUUUGUGAGGUAAAGGCUCACCAAGGCGAUGAUACAUAACCGACCUGAGAGGGUGAUCGGCCACAUUGGGACUGAGACAAGGCCCAAACUCCUACGGGAGGCAGCAGUAGGGAAUCUUCGGCAAUGGACGAAAGUCUGACCGAGCAACGCCGCGUGAGUGAAGAAGGUUUUCGGAUCGUAAAACUCUGUUGGUAGAGAAGAACGUUGGUGAGAGUGGAAAGCUCAUCAAGUGACGGUAACUACCCAGAAAGGGACGGCUAACUACGUG